GUCAUUAAACACAUUCCUCCACCCCCUGUGAGUACUGCAGGUAAAGGCUGGACUAUUGUCUAUCUGUCCUGCAAUCUGCCUGACCAGCCACCCCACCAAAAAAGGAAGUAAAAAUGACAGAUGAGUCACCAUGAGCACUGGUGCUGAAGAAAAUACAACCCUGAGCAGGACCACACCUCUCCCUCAUAGACUUACUCCCAGGAGAGGGAAGCCAGAGAACAUACACAGGCCCACUGUGGAGCUUGCCCCAGGAAACAGAACCGAUGGGAUGGAACUUCCGGACAUCUCAUUAGGAAGCCCUGAGGCAGAGACUGCGCCAUCAGCCCCAAAACAGGAGAGCAACACCGCCCCCCUCCACGGCCCCAGGGAGGAUUUACGCCUGCCCUGUCCAGUCUCACCCCUACCCUGACAUGGAAUCUUACAAGGAAACUGGCUGCUAUAAUCAGAGAAUCAACCCAGAAGUCCCAAGAAGAAUGUAUUCAGAAGAAAUUCAGAAGAAUGGCACACUCCCUCUUACAAUUAAAAAAAUUAGUAUUAAAAAAUU